rnacentral:rRNA from 1 species
AGAGUUUGAUCAUGGCUCAGGACGAACGCUGGCGGCGUGCCUAGUACAUGCAAGUCGAGCGAGCUUGCCUAGAUGAUUUUGGUGCUUGCACUAAAUGAAACUAGAUACAAGCGAGCGGCGGACGGGUGAGUAACACGUGGGUAACCUGCCCAAGAGACUGGGAUAACACCUGGAAACAGAUGCUAAUACCGGAUAACAACACUAGACGCAUGUCUAGAGUUUGAAAGAUGGUUCUGCUAUCACUCUUGGAUGGACCUGCGGUGCAUUAGCUAGUUGGUAAGGUAACGGCUUACCAAGGCAAUGACUGCAUAGCCGAGUUGAGAGACUGAUCGGCCACAUUGGGACUGAGACACGGCCCAAACUCCUACGGGAGGCAGCAGUAGGGAAUCUUCCACAAUGGACGAAAGUCUGAUGGAGCAACGCCGCGUGAGUGAAGAAGGGUUUCGGCUCGUAAAGCUCUGUUGGUAGUGAAGAAAGAUAGAGGUAGUAACUGGCCUUUAUUUGACGGUAAUUACUUAGAAAGUCACGGCUAACUACGUGCCAGCAGCCGCGGUAAUACGUAGGUGGCAAGCGUUGUCCGGAUUUAUUGGGCGUAAAGCGAGUGCAGGCGGUUCAAUAAGUCUGAUGUGAAAGCCUUCGGCUCAACCGGAGAAUCGCAUCAGAAACUGUUGAACUUGCAGUGCAGAAGAGGAGAGUGGAACUCCAUGUGUAGCGGUGGAAUGCGUAGAUAUAUGGAAGAACACCAGUGGCGAAGGCGGCUCUCUGGUCUGCAACUGACGCUGAGGCUCGAAAGCAUGGGUAGCGAACAGGAUUAGAUACCCUGGUAGUCCAUGCCGUAAACGAUGAGUGCUAAGUGUUGGGAGGUUUCCGCCUCUCAGUGCUGCAGUCU